rnacentral:lncRNA from 1 species
GGCGGCCAGCCCCAGGCUGGGCCCUGGCAGGAGUCUUUGAUCUGGGUGCAUUCCAUACUGAGAGCCAUGGCUCAUGAGGGACAGGUCGUGGCGGCGGUAGGCAUCGAGGCAACCCAGCUCCCGCCUCUGCUCGUCCAGGCAGGAGGACUUGAGAGCCCGCGCAUUGUGCAGUUAUGUAUUGAUGCUGCACAUGGCUAUCCAGCUGGAGCCCUCAUUUCCAUCCAGCCUCACUGGCAACUAGCUGUGGCCACAUGAUUUUUUUUUUUGCAAGUGAAUGUGAGUGGAAUUGACGUGGGAAAUUCUAUGUCUUCAUGUAAAGACAUUCGUGUGCUCUCAGAUAACUUCCUUUCCCUUCAUAUAAGUGAUAAGUAACCAGCUUUGACAAAGAAGAGGAUAAGAACAAUCAUAGCAUAUUCAAUAUUGCAAGGUUACUGACAUCACAUUGCUCUUUUAUACCCUGCUGAACUACACAUAUUUACCAGGAGCUGUGGUCAAGGUGAAGACAUCAAAGAAAUUGUGACAACACUGUCAUCCAUUGAACAAUGUUUCUUCAAUGGACACGAAAAGGUUGUUCAUUUACACAAUGAAUACUACUCAACUAUUAAGAAUGAGGACAUCCUGAGUUUUGCAGCAAAUGGAUGGAACUAGAAAAUAUUGCCCUGAGUGAGGUAACUCAGACCCAAAAAGACAUUCAUGAUGCACAAAUGCUGGGAUUAUGUGGGUGUGUGCCACGCCAUCUGGCUUUUAGAGUAGAGAGAAAGCAGAGCAAAACACAACAUGGAAGUGACCAAAACCUUCCCAAACUGUACUCUUGGGUAUACUAUACACAGCAUGUCACAGUCUUCUGUUUCAUGGCCAGCCUGAGUGGAUAAAGGCAAAUAUCACUGAUUAAUGUCUAAACAAUGGAAAUAAACAAAAAUU